rnacentral:rRNA from 1 species
AGUGAACGCUGGCGGUAGGCCUAACACAUGCAAGUCGAACGGCAGCACAGUAAGAGCUUGCUCUUACGGGUGGCGAGUGGCGGACGGGUGAGGAAUACAUCGGAAUCUACUUUUUCGUGGGGGAUAACGUAGGGAAACUUACGCUAAUACCGCAUACGACCUACGGGUGAAAGCAGGGGAUCUUCGCACCUUGCGCGAUUGAAUGAGCCGAUGUCGGAUUAGCUAGUUGGCGGGGUAAAGGCCCACCAAGGCGACGAUCCGUAGCUGGUCUGAGAGGAUGAUCGGCCACACGGGAACGGAAACACGGUCCAGACUCCUACGGGAGGCAGCAGUGGGGAAUAUUGGACAAUGGGCGCAAGCCUGAUCCAGCCAUACCGCGUGGGUGACGAAGGCCUUCGGGUUGUAAAGCCCUUUUGUUGGGAAAGAAAAGCAGCAGGUUAAUACCCCGCUGUUCUGACGGUACCCAAAGAAUAAGCACCGGCUAACUUCGUG